rnacentral:rRNA from 1 species
ACGGAAGGCAGCAGUGGGGAAUAUUGCACAAUGGGGGAAACCCUGAUGCAGCGACGCCGCGUGAGCGAAGAAGUAUUUCGGUAUGUAAAGCUCUAUCAGCAGGGAAGAAAAUGACGGUACCUGACUAAGAAGCUCCGGCUAAAUACGUGCCAGCAGCCGCGGUAAUACGUAUGGAGCAAGCGUUAUCCGGAUUUACUGGGUGUAAAGGGAGCGUAGACGGUUUGCCAAGUCUGAUGUGAAAGGUGGGGGCUCAACCCCCAAACUGCAUUGGAAACUGGUAGACUAGAGUGUCGGAGAGGUAAGUGGAAUUCCUAGUGUAGCGGUGAAAUGCGUAGAUAUUAGGAGGAACACCAGUGGCGAAGGCGGCUUACUGGACGAUAACUGACGUUGAGGCUCGAAAGCGUGGGGAGCAAACAGGAUUAGAUACCCUGGUA